rnacentral:lncRNA from 1 species
ACAAAAUCUGUUGUUUCCGAUCGCAUACUGCAUGUUGGCAAGGAACAGCAUUGCAGACAAAAAGAAAGCGAGUAAAAUUUGGUUUAAUCUUCUCAACGCAAGGCAUAAUGGAGUCAAUGUGAUAGACAAGAUAAUUAGGUAAAUCUGAACCAAACUAGCAGGUUCCUCGCCUACUAACCACCACGACAUGGCAAGUAUAACAUACCCUAAAUUCCGACAAACAGAAAGAAGCAAACUAGUAGCGUAGAUAAAUCCAGCAAAGAUGAGACUUUCAGACUCGUUAUGCUUUCUCCUCCAUCUCACAAAAAUUGUACCUAGGAGCUCUCUGCCCUCCCACAUUUCGCCUCUCUUGUUUCACAAGCUGCGGUUUUUCACUCGGAUGGGGGUGUGCUUCAGAGCGGGCAUGGUGGGACUUCGAGCGUCGCGCCAGCUUGGAUCUGGCCCCAUCCGAUGAGGCGCCAGUGCUUCUCGACACGGCGGCUCAGGGCCACCUUCUCGCCUUUGCUAGUGCAGACGGGCGCGGUGAGCUGGAGCUUGGCGAGAUCGUUCUUCACGGCCACCACACGGGCGCCGGUGGACAUGGAUCCAAUGUUAAGCAUCAGGAUCUCGCCCUUGGUGAGCUUGGAGACCUUCCCUGCCUUCUCUGUACCCUUCGUUCUCACACCCAGCAGCCUUCGGAGAAGGAAGAAGUUGAUCUGCAGAGAAAUGUCCAAGGAUGUCAUUAACAGCUAUCACUUGUUUGGCCAAAAUCAUUAAGCAAGAAAGAUUCGACAAACCUCAAGCUCCACGAAUACAUCGGGAAGUGACCCGAUUUCUCCUAGAACCUGGCCAACCAGCCUGUCGGCACGAGUCAAAGUUGGAUCCAUGGUGGUUCCCACACCGAUAAGCCCUCCUGGCACAGCAAAUUGGAGUUCAUUCUGCUCUGCGUAGAGCGAGACGAUCCUCGAAUAGAUUGGGGUGCAUUUGAUGUUGCCACUCUCAUCCUUCAUGACAAUGCCAGGGCGAACUUCAAUAUUCUGGUUCACCCUGAGGACUCCCUGUAAUAAGAAUCGACAUUCAGUUUAUGUUUACAGCCAGAGCUCUCAUGAUCGAAUUCUGUACCAGGACUGAGAUCUGCAUACAUACCCUGAGGAUGCUGCCACCUGCUACCCCACCCCUAAUUUCAUCAACCUCUGAACCAGGCUUGUUGACAUCAAAGGAGCGAAUAACAAUCAUGUUGGGAGGUGAAGUGAAGUUCCUUUCUGGAAUGGGGAUUUUGUUAAUAAUAUAUUCACAGAUCACAUCAAUGUUGUACUUCAGCUGUGCAGAUAUUGGCACCACAGGAGCACCUUCAGCUAUAGUGCCCUGCACAGAUGGUAGUAAAAAAGAUCAAACCAUGAAAGGGAAUACAUGUAUUUAUAACACGGGCAAUAACACACAGUAGUGACCUGGAUAAAUUUUUGGAUUGCUUCAUGCUGGUUCAUUGCUGCGCUUUCCUGGAUAAGAUCGAUCUUAUUCUGCAAAAUUAUGAGAUGCUGGAGACGCAUGAUUUCAACAGCUGCAAGAUGCUCGGAUGUCUGGGGUUGUGGGCAGCUUUCAUUUGCUGCUAUCAAAAGCAAGGCUCCAUCCAUGAUAGCUGCUCCAUUAAGCAUUGUAGCCAUGAGAAUGUCAUGGCCCUGUUCAACAAGGUAGAUAUUGUAAAUACAUAAAACAAUUAUGUAAUAUCAUAUUCAAGUUCAACUAAUGAAAAGAAUAUCUAAUGAUCGAUCAGAUAACUCUGAUGACUUCCCAAUUCAUAUAAUAAUUCAGUUGAAUAAUUGGGAAUGCACUUAUUAGUGUAAACAGCCAUUAUCAUCUAUGGUGAUGCAAGGGAAACCUCACGAUCAUAAUUGACAGCAAAUAAAACUGUAGGGUGCAAAAUGUUACUAAUCACUUGGGUACGGCAAGAAAUGAUCAGUGUAAGCAUUCAUGUACUAGAUCUGUAGAAGGGAACAUUCAUGACAGCAAAAGGGUAGGGCUUCGUCAUACCGGGCAAUCAACAAAGGAAACAUGUCUCAGGAGCUUCAUCCUGGUGUUUUCAAACCCAGGAACAUCACAGGCAGGAGUAUCUUCUUUUCCGCUUCCAUAAGCCCUUUAUAUAAUUGAAAUAAAAGUCAAAUAAUGUAAAAGAGCUUAAAACCUUGUAAAUAAUCACAUUGACUAAUUUCUGAAGGUCAAGUUUGAGAUUUCAAUCAUGAGUUUUACAUUGUAUUCACUAGAAAACAAUCAUGUGACAUACAAGUUUAAUAAUUUAUAGGAGUACAGAACAGUGCCCCCUGAAGUUCUUUGCUCUAAAUUGUAAAGAGGCUGAUAGUCAUAGAAGCUAAUCAUGUAAAAAAAGAUAAGAAAUUCAGCAUACUUGUAACACAUUGGUCGUGGACAUCUGUCAUCCUCGCAUUUAUAUAUUUUUGCAUUAGCAUAGCCCAGCUUGAUAGUGAUGUUACGUUCAAGCUCAUUCUUGAAGCGAACAGUCUACAAAUCAAAACAAAGAAAUCAGAAAACAAGAAUAAUAAUAAAGAAAUUCCAAAUGAAAAAGAAUGUGCACAUCAACAUUCAUCAGUUACUAAUCAUUCUAGAAAUUAUUGUAAAAAACAAAGGCAAAGAAGCAUGAACUACAACAGUGCCAUUACUCAAGCCAAGAAACUAGAGCACUUAUAUUUUUAAUAGUAAUUCCAAGACCAAACUUUUAUCAGGUUUAAAGAAAUCUGCAGUGCAUUCCUAGCAAGUGCUAGGUUAGUUUACUCGUUCAAAUACCAAAAGGCAAUCUAAGCAUGGCAUAUUUGAGUAGUAUGGCAAACUCAGAAGAGUUACUGCUCAAUGUGAUAAGGCUUGGAAAGAAAAUAUGGCCACCGGAAUGAAUGAUACCUGAACUCCAGAUAUAGCUUUCACAAC